UACGUAGGUGGCAAGCGUUGUCCGGAUUUACUGGGCGUAAAGAGCGCGCAGGCGGUCGUUCAAGUCGCGUGUGAAAGCCCCCGGCUCAACUGGGGAGGGUCACGCGAUACUGAUCGACUGGAAGGCAGGAGAGGGUAGUGGAAUUCCCGGUGUAGUGGUGAAAUGCGUAGAUAUCGGGAGGAACACCAGUGGCGAAGGCGACUUCCUGGCCUGUUCUUGACGCUGAGGCGCGAAAGCUAGGGGAGCAAACGGG
rnacentral:rRNA from 1 species